rnacentral:rRNA from 1 species
GUGGGGAAUAUUGCACAAUGGGGGAAACCCUGAUGCAGCCAUGCCGCGUGUGUGAAGAAGGCCUUCGGGUUGUAAAGCACUUUCAGUAGGGAGGAAAGGGUGAGUCUUAAUACGGCUCAUCUGUGACGUUACCUACAGAAGAAGGACCGGCUAACUCCGUGCCAGCAGCCGCGGUAAUACGGAGGGUCCGAGCGUUAAUCGGAAUUACUGGGCGUAAAGCGUGCGCAGGCGGUUUGUUAAGCGAGAUGUGAAAGCCCUGGGCUCAACCUAGGAAUCGCAUUUCGAACUGGCGAACUAGAGUCUUGUAGAGGGGGGUAGAAUUCCAGGUGUAGCGGUGAAAUGCGUAGAGAUCUGGAGGAAUACCGGUGGCGAAGGCGGCCCCCUGGACAAAGACUGACGCUCAUGCACGAAAGCGUGGGGAGCAAACAGGAUUAGAAACCCCAGUAGUCC